CCAAUUUCCCCAAAUCGGCAGCCCUUUGCAGCCCAUACCAGCUAAUUUUGUUCUUUCUUCUUCCUGAUUUUUUAUUUUCUCGGUUGUGGCGGUGGUUUUAUUUUUGAACGAUUUCACGAUUUCGCGAUUUUUUAUUUGGGUUUUUAUUUGUCGAGAGCUUUCUUUGGUUUCCCCAUUAAAAAUUGUUCAUCUUCUCUUCUUCUUUUUUUACCCUUUUCAUUUUCAUCGUAUCCAUUUGUCUGUCAUCAUGCACCUAUUUUCCAUCUUAGCUAAGACGAUUUGGGAUGUUCUUUCAAACAAAAAAGUGAUAGAUAUUAUAGAAUCUGCCCCAGCUUGUUCGUCUGCUGCUCGAACCUUGGUUCAAACAACAGUUCGAGCAUGGAGAUACAAAUAUCCGACUUCAAAAGUUGAUGACUAUGCUGUUGUAAUAAUAAGGUUUUCUGUUGCAACGCAUGAAUUAUGAAAGGAUCAGAUGCAAUGGGUUGUAUGGAAGAGGCUUUUAGCUUUUGAGAAGUAAGACGCACAGCAUUUCUUCCCCACCCCCUUUUUUAUGAUUUAAAUUUCAGCCAUGGUAGAAGGUUCAUCGAAUUGGGCACUACCACUCUAGGAAUUUACUAUUUUUUAAUUAAGAAAAUAUGAUCUUUUGAUUUAUGGUACAAGAAAUGGUUUCUUAAUUUUAAUUUCAUUAUUUUUGGAUAUUGACAUUUUUGGUUCUAAUGAGUAUAAAUAUCAUAGGAACUGGAAUAAGUUGAGCAGUUACGUGGACUGCAAUCAAUAUGCCCAACUCCAAUAUGC